CAAUAGCGUAUAUUAAAGUUGUUGCAGUUAAAAAGCUCGUAGUUGGAUUUCGGGGCAGCCUGGCUGGUCCGCCGCAAGGCGAGUACUGGUCAGCCGCCCUUCCUCUCGAAAGCCCCGACUGCUCUUUAUUGCAGUGGUCGGGUAGUUCGGGACGUUUACUUUGAAAAAAUUAGAGUGUUCAAGGCAGGCCUACGCCUGAAUACAUUAGCAUGGAAUAAUGGAAGAGGACCUCGGUCCUAUUUUGUUGGUUUCCAGGACCGAAGUAAUGAUUAAGAGGGACAGUUGGGGGCAUUCGUAUUUAAUUGUCAGAGGUGAAAUUCUCAGAUUUAUGAAAGACGAACAACUGCGAAAGCAUUUGCCAAGGAUGUUUUCAUUAA
rnacentral:rRNA from 1 species